AUCUUCAGAGACUGAGAGCUGAACAUCAGGUCUGAUGCAGGUGUUUGGAUGAAACCAACUCAGGAGUGCAGGGGUGUACCUUUUUAAGAAAGGACCAUAACCAACAUCACUGUCUGGGUCUGAUCCAAGAAAAACCAUGUCAGGACUUUUGGGUGGGAGAAGACGGAGCCAUGAGCUGCCUCCUGACCUGUCUCGACUGAGGAAAAAUUUUGAUAAGCAUGCAGCUUCAUUUACCCAUAAUUUAGAGAAAAAUUACAACAGGGUGAAAUCUAUUGCAUCUGAAUUUCAGAAAAUAGCUGGUGAAGCAAGGGAGACGCUGACGACAGUUGCCAACACCACUACAGGGGGACUGGUAGCUGGAGGAGUGGGACUGGGGGCUGCUGCAGUUGGACUUGGAGUUCUUCUAGCUCCGUUCACUGGAGGGGCAAGCGUAGCUGCUGCAGCAGUUCUAGCAGGAGGAGCAGUAGGUGCAGGAGGGUUUGGUGUUGCUCUUUUUUCUAAACUGUCUGAACAAAUAAUCAAAAAUCUUAGAGGAAAGAAAGUGAAAAGCUUAGGGAGUGAAUUCAUUCAGUUGGCUGAACAGCUGAGGACGGACAUAGAAGAAAUGCAGGGAUGCUGUAAAAAGUUGGAGAUUUCAGCUCAAAUUCAGGCUGAACUCUCGCUCUCUGAGUCAUGGCUGUUUCAGAGGAUUCAUGGAAAAGUGACCCAGCAGAAACUGAUAUUAUCUGCUGAUCUGAUAUUAGCUCUGCUGGAGUUGGUAGACACACAUAUGAUCCUCAUUAACACUAUUGUCAAGUACACUCUGGAAACUGAAGACAGACAAAACCUCAUCAACUCUGUCUACAGGUUAGCUGAUCAGAGCCAGAGGUUCACUGAGGAGUGCAACACAAUGAAGCAGAAACUAGGGUAUGUUUGUCCACUGUGACAGUAAUGACUGUAUAUCCACCUCUCUGUCAGCUGCUUCCACGCCUGGAUCAUUUGGAGAGGAUGUUCUGAAACAAAACGGCCUUCCCUCAGACGUUAACACAACAAGAACAACACAAGAGAGCCAGGAUCACUUAGAGGACGUGAUCUUGGAUCGCUUUCAUUUGGAGCAUCCAUCCAUUUUCUAUACUGCUGGGGGUUGUGGGGGAACAGAGCCUAUCCCAGCUGUGUGGCUGGGUGAGAGCCAAUCACAGGGCUGACACAUAGAGACAGACAACCAGGCACGCUCACACUCA